rnacentral:ncRNA from 1 species
UAUAAGGCGUUGAUCGGGAGAGUAGCUUUUAUAAAGGCUAAAGAGAGGGAAAGUCGCCGGCUGUAAGCUUUCCUGCCGUAUAUAUAAGUGAAAUGCGCCCGGGAGCCCCGCAUGUGAAAAUUCAAAGUAGCGUGCGGCGUAUGGCAGCGUUAAAGCCUUUGAGUUAUAAAUCGGAGUGGAACCGCGGGAUACCGCCUCCGGC